UACGUAGGCAGCAAGCGUUGUUCGGAGUUACUGGGCGUAAAGGGUGCGUAGGCGGUCCUAUAAGUAUGGUGUGAAAUCUCCCGGCUUAACUGGGAGGGUGCGCUAUAGACUGUGGGACUAGAGUGUGGGAGAGGAAAGUGGAAUUCCUGGUGUAGCGGUGAAAUGCGUAGAUAUCGGAAGGAACACCAGUGGCGAAAGCGGCUCACUGGACCAUAACUGACGCUGAUGCACGAAAGCUGGGGGAGCAAACAGG
rnacentral:rRNA from 1 species